GACGAACGCUGGCGGCGUGCCUAAUACAUGCAAGUAGAACGCUGAAGAGAGGAGCUUGCUCUUCUUGGAUGAGUUGCGAACGGGUGAGUAACGCGUAGGUAACCUGCCUUGUAGCGGGGGAUAACUAUUGGAAACGAUAGCUAAUACCGCAUAACAACGGAUGACACAUGUCAUUUAUUUGAAAGGGGCAAUUGCUCCACUACAAGAUGGACCUGCGUUGUAUUAGCUAGUAGGUGAGGUAAUGGCUCACCUAGGCGACGAUACAUAGCCGACCUGAGAGGGUGAUCGGCCACACUGGGACUGAGACACGGCCCAGACUCCUACGGGAGGCAGCAGUAGGGAAUCUUCGGCAAUGGGGGCAACCCUGACCGAGCAACGCCGCGUGAGUGAAGAAGGUUGUCGGAUCGUAAAGUUCUGUUGUAAGUCAAGAACGGGUGUGAGAGUGGAAAGUUCACACUGUGACGGUAGCUUACCAGAAAGGGACGGCUAACUACGUG
rnacentral:rRNA from 1 species